CAAAAAACGGUACUCAGUUCGGACUGAAGGCUGAAAUUCGCCUUCAUGAAGCUGGAAUUGCUAGUAAUGGCAGGUCAGCAUACUGCCGUGAAUACGUUCCCGGGCCUUGUACACACCGCCCGUCACACCAUGGGAGCCGGGAAUGCCCGAAGUCGGUGACCCAACCGUAAGGAGGGAGCCGCCGAAGGCAGGCCUGGUAACUGGGGUGAAGUCGUAACAAGGUACC
rnacentral:rRNA from 1 species